GGCUUAGAGUUUGAUCAUGGCUCAGGACGAACGCUGGCGGCGCGCCUAACACAUGCAAGUCGAACGGGGUUGAGAGGAGCUUGCUUUUCUUGACUUAGUGGCGAACGGGUGAGUAACGCGUGAGGAACCUGUCUCAAAGAGGGGGACAACAGUUGGAAACGACUGCUAAUACCGCAUAAGCCCACGGUCCCGCAUGGGAGAGAGGGAAAAGGAGCAAUCCGCUUUGAGAUGGCCUCGCGUCCGAUUAGCUGGUUGGUGAGGUAACGGCCCACCAAGGCGACGAUCGGUAGCCGGACUGAGAGGUUGAACGGCCACAUUGGGACUGAGACACGGCCCAGACUCCUACGGGAGGCAGCAGUGGGGAAUAUUGCACAAUGGGGGAAACCCUGAUGCAGCGACGCCGCGUGGAGGAAGAAGGUCUUCGGAUUGUAAACUCCUGUUGUUGGGGAAAAAGAGGAUGGUACCCAACAAGGAAGUGACGGCUAACUACGUGCCAGCAGCCGCGGUAAAACGUAGGUCACGAGCGUUGUCCGGAAUUACUGGGUGUAAAGGGAGCGCAGGCGGGUAUGCAAGUUGGGAGUGAAAUACAUGGGCUCAACCCAUGAACUGCUCUCAAAACUGUGCAUCUUGAGUAGUGCAGAGGUAGGCG
rnacentral:rRNA from 1 species